ensembl:lncRNA
AUCUCUCUCUGGAGAUCACUCCUCUUGGCACCCUUUCUGCAAGUUCAGGCUAUGGAAUGAUUUGGUUGAAGAGGUGGGGUGCACUGAGCAAAACUGCUGAUGACACAAACUAGAAGAAGUUACUGAUACACCAGACAGCUGUGCUGCCAUGCAAAGGGACCUGAACAAGCUGUAGAAAUGGGCCAAUAGGAACCUCAUGAAGUUCAACAAGAUGAAAUGCGGAGUUGUGCACCUGGGGAGGAGAAACCCAAGACACCAGGACUUACUGAGGACUCCUGGCUGGAAAACACCAUGACAGUAGAGGAUCUGUGCAACCUGGUGGACACCAAAUUUAACAUGAGCCAGCAAUGGGAUCUGAUGGAAAAGAAGGCUAAAGGUAUACCAGACUACAGUAGGAAAAGCAUCACUGGCAGGUCAAGAGAGGUGACCUUUCCCCUCUACUCAGAACUGGAGAGACCAUACCUGCAAUAAAGUGUCAAGUUCUGGGCUCCCCAGUACUAGAAAGACAUCAACAUACUGGAGAGAAUUCAGUGCAGGGCCAAGAAGAUGACUAAGGGACUGGAGUAUUCCUUGUAUGAGGAAAUGCUGAAAGAGCUGGGACUGUCCAGCCUAGAAGAGGGAAAGCUAAAUGAAAAUGUUACCAAUUCAUAUAGAAUAUUAAUAGAAAGGUGCAAAAAGUAUGAAGUGAGGCUCUUUUCAGCUGUUCUCAGUGACACUGCUGGGUACUGGGUGCAAACUGAAACAGUAGGUGCCAUCUGGACAUCAGGAAACAUUUUUCACUGUAACGGCAACAGAGCAAUAAAACAGUGUGCCUAGAGAGUAAACCAAUGUUCUGGUUGCUGUUGAGUGAAUGCCUCCGUGGCAGGGAAGGGACACUGCCAUUAUGGUGCAGCAAUAAGCCACAGAGCAGGGAGGAAGGGGAAGAGGGGGAGUUUCAGAGAUAGGACAGCUGACCUGAAUUAGACAAAGGGUUAUUCCGUACCAUCUGACAUCACACAAAAGAUCAUAAAGCUGUGGGGAGUUAGUGGGGAACAGCCACUGCUCAGGGAUUGGUGGACGUUUAUCAGUGGUUGUAAGACAUUGCAUUGCUGGUGUGUAGUUAGUCUCUGCCUCAUUCCACUGUGGGGAAUGAGUGAACAGUUUUGUGGUGCUUAGCUGCAUGCCAGGUUAAACCACAACAGGAAUUCAAGUUUUUGCUUUAUUGUCUAAGGUAUUGAGCAUAUGAUAUCAGUGCUUUCUCUACAUUAUACGUUCAGCUGUUUCCCUUGCAUUUAUUGGAUAUUUUUCUUAACUACCAUGUAAAUUUUCAAGGGUUAUUCCCAUAUUCCCACAAAGUAUAAACCUGUUAUAAAGCUCGCUGAAGACAGCAGGGCCCGAAGUGACCAGAUAAUCUCUUUUCCACACUUGUGUUCUACUCAUGAAUAUAAUAGCUCAAGAACAGUAAAAGAACAGAAUGAAGACAAGGACAAAAAGAUUAUAUGGGCACUUGGGAGGUUAAUGCAUGUGGUUCUGCUUUUUUCAGAAGCUAAUACAUAAUUAUUUUCUUCAAUUAGAUGAAAUCAGCUUAACUAAUCAAUUACUGGAAAAAACUUAAGAAGUAAAAAAAAAAAAACAAAACCCUAACGACCUUAAAAUCAUGCCAUCACAAAGACAAAUGAAUGCUUGUCAUGCAUUAUGUACUUUUAGAAAAACUUUCCACUUUCAAAAUUUAUCUGAGUAAACUAUAACUUUUUCUACCAUCAUCGCUUAUUCCUUAGUGAACCUUUAGAAGACUGUUUCCGGUAUUCAUAAUCCUUCUGCUAUACAUGCACAUAUAUAUAUCCGUAUAUGCACACAAAUAUAUACAUAUACACAUGUGUAUGCAUAAAUAUUUAAGAAAGUAAAAAUAAUUUGCUUUUUGAGUAAGUUUGUUUCUUCAUUAUACUAUUAACAGUAUCUUCAUGCAGUAAUGGGCCUACACCAUUUUUGAUGUUCAUUCAGCAUUCAAUUUAUGUAAAUAACUACAGCUUUUUGCAUAUUAAACUGUUUCUGCAGACU